AUACGGAGGAUGCGAGCGUUAUCCGGAUUUAUUGGGUUUAAAGGGUGCGCAGGCGGGGGAUUAAGUCAGCGGUGAAAUUUUUCAGCCCAACUGUAAAAGGGCCUCUGAAACUGGUUUCCUUGAGUGCAUAUGAAGUAGGGGGACUUUGUGGUGUAACGGUGAAAUUCAUAGAUAUCACGAGGAACUCCGAUUGCGCAGGCAGCUUACUAGCCUACUACUGACGCUCAGGCACGAAGGCGUGUGGAUCAAACAGGAUUAGAUACCCGGGUCGUCUUCGGCGUAAACGAUGAUCACUAGAUGUUUGCGAUACAAUGUAAGCGGCUGAGCGAAAGCGUUAAGUAAUCCCCCUGGGGAGUACGUUCUCAAGAAUGAAACUGAAAUGAAUUGACGGGG
rnacentral:rRNA from 1 species